GGGGACUGAUCUUUCCCGUGCUAUUCUCAUGAUAGUGCAUAAGUCUCAUGAGAUCUGAUGAGGUUAUCAGGGGUUUUUGCUUUUGCUUCUUCCUCAUUUUCUCUUGCUGUUGCCAUGUAAGAAGUGCCUUUUACCUCCUGCCAUGAUUCUGAGGCCUCCCCAGCCAUGUGAAACUGGCCCUUCCAUCUGCCCAUGCUGCCCCCAUCUCCUGAUUUGUGAAAUUCAUCAGGUGUGCACCCUUCUAAUGGCUGCUCCGAUGAAAACAGUAAAAACCCAUCAAGCCAGACCAAGAGGAGUGACCUACUUAUAUCAGAUUGUGUUAACUUUCUGAGAAGAGACAGACUCAGACCCAGAGAGGAGAACACCAUGUGGAGAUGGAGGCAGAGGUUGGAGUGAUGCACCUACAAGCCAAGGAACACUGUGGAUGGCAGCAGCUGCCAGAAGCCAGGAGAGAGGCAUGGAGCAGGUGCUCCCUCAGAGUCACCAGCAGGAACCAACCCUGCUGACACUUUGAUUUCAAACCUCUGUCUUCCAGAACGGUGAUAGAAUAAAUUUCUGUUGUUUUAAGCCAUCCAAGUCUGUGGUAAUUUACUAUGGCAGCUCUAGGAAACUAACACUAGUGUAGGAUAAAAAAUUUUCUCAACUCUGUCCCCUUGUUUUCUCUCAUUAUGAUGCCUAUCACUGGCCGGACCCAACUGGAAGCUGGAAAGCAAGGGAACUGUGAUGUGGUCCCUGGAGGUCAGCCUCUAGGUGCAAUGCAGAGCAGAGAAUGGAUGGAGGGUGACUAUAAAUGGAGAAUAAUCCAGGCUUCUAUCUUCUUCAAGUUCAGAGUCAGGUGGAAGAUGACAUGAACCCCAAAGGCUCUGGAGAAACUGCUGUCUCGACCCCUCUUUUCCACCCCUUGCACCUGGUUCUGUUGUGAACACAAGCAGGCUGAGAACACAGCUUGUUCCUCAAAACUGCAUCUUGGACAAGAAAUUGACUUUCCCCGGGGAACAAUGUUAUAAACAGGCGAGGAGUGGUAUGUGCGUGCCGAAGAAAGAGAUGAUGUAGAAGUUAAAAGGCUGGAGAACAAUAAACAUGAAAAGCAGUUCAACGUCAUUUGUAAGCAAGCCAACUCAAGUAAAAAUAACACUGAAAUGAAUUCAUUGCCACCCUUCAGGUUGGCACAGAAGGAUGUGAUGGCUGUCUCCCAGGGCUGGUGAAGGCAGGGGGAAGAAGACUCACUCUCUACUGCUGCAGGACUGGUUGUGGAUUCGGUGAGGCGUAAAGACCCCAGCACAGUGCUGGCUCCCUUUCUCUUCCUGCUCAGCUCCUUUCCCGACAUCUGCAACUUGCAUUGUAAAGCAAAAGACAGGGAAAAGUCAAGGUUCAGCAUCAAUGUCUCAGUGCUGUGCAGUGUUAUUUGCAUAAACCUUCCCAUUCACUGAUGGAAACCCC
rnacentral:lncRNA from 1 species